rnacentral:rRNA from 1 species
CAGCAGCCGCGGUAAUACGAAGGGGGCUAGCGUUGCUCGGAAUCACUGGGCGUAAAGGGUGCGUAGGCGGGUCUUUAAGUCAGGGGUGAAAUCCUGGAGCUCAACUCCAGAACUGCCUUUGAUACUGAAGAUCUUGAGUUCGGGAGAGGUGAGUGGAACUGCGAGUGUAGAGGUGAAAUUCGCAGAUAUUCGCAAGAACACCAGUGGCGAAGGCGGCUCACUGGCCCGAUACUGACGCUGAGGCACGAAAGCUAGGGGAGCAAAUGGGAUUAGAUACCCCGGUAGUCCCUGUCUCUUAUAC